UUCUGCCCUAUCAACUUUCGAUGGUAAGGUAGUGGCUUACCAUGGUUGUAACGGGUAACGGAGAAUUGGGGUUUGAUUCCGGAGACGGAGCCUGAGAGAUGGCUACGACUUUUAAGGAAGGCAGCAGGCGCGCAAAUUUCCCAAUCCCGACACGGGGAGGUAGCGACAAUCAUAACAAAGGAGGGCCCAAAAGGGUCUCCAAUGGAAUGAAGCAA
rnacentral:rRNA from 1 species